GAGGACCGGAUGCAGGCAGCAUCUCUUUGUGCCCUGUCCUGGUUAAUGUCACGCUCCGCAUCACAUAGUACAUCCAUUGUAUCAAAGUCGUCAUCCGAUGACAUAGUCAAGCAACUAGAAUUUUCAGAACUUGAUGAUGGAGAUGUUGGGAUAUCUAAAUCCAACAACUCCAAGUAGUCACCUUCAAAAAAAUCAUCCAUCUCAGCAACGAUCUCUUCUGAAUAAUGGACCAAGGGUUUUCCUGCAACUGCCAAUUCUACCA
rnacentral:misc_RNA from 1 species